AGGAACCGGGACCGGGAUCGGGAUCGGGAUCGGCCUCUCACGGCGCGGUCAGCGGGAAGCCCUGCGUCCCUCAGGCGCAGGAAACUGGUGCUGGUGGAGGCGACUCCACAGCUGCGCCUUCCCCCGCCAUGUUCUGGCGAGGCUCCCUGAGGGCCGGUGCUGCUUCCCGCCGGCCCCGGCGCUGAGCGGCUGCGGCGGGAGCAGCCGGGCGAGCCUGGCAGUGGACAAAAAAAAUGAAGUGACCAGGAUGGUGUGACUUCAGAAAUGAAGGGUGAUCCUUCAGAAAAAGGCUGCCCAAGAAGCUUCAGCGACUUUGCUAACUAGCAGCCCUGAGCCGAGGCAGCCCCGAGGAGCCCAGCCCAGAUUAUGCCUUGAGCUGCAGAACGUCUGACAAACUGAGAACUCGUUGGCAGCAUCCACGUCUGAUGGCUUGGAGAUUCCUAAAACUUGAUCAUCUGUGUUUUCUCUACAUGGUUAAGAAGGAUUUAAAUAAAAUAAAAAACCUAAAUAAAGAUGCCACCUACAAGACUGAA